GGACCUCUAGCUCAGCUGGUAGAGCGGCGCUUUUACACGGCGAAGGUCCGGGGUUCGAUGCCUCGGAGGUCCA
rnacentral:tRNA from 1 species